rnacentral:rRNA from 1 species
UACGUAGGGGGCGAGCGUUGUCCGGAUUUAUUGGGCGUAAAGAGCGUGUAGGCGGUUCGGUAAGUCUGUCGUGAAAUCCUGAGGCUCAACCUCGGGCGUGCGAUGGAUACUGCCGGGCUAGAGGGUGGUAGAGGCGAGUGGAAUUCCCGGUGUAGCGGUGAAAUGCGCAGAUAUCGGGAGGAACACCAGUGGCGAAGGCGGACUCACUGGCCCGGUACGUCGACGCU